UGGGAGAGGCCACAACAGUGAGAGGCCUGCGUACCGCAAGAAAAAAAAAAGUUUCCAAGGCCAAAGCAUUCAACCCCUAGUGGUUCAUAGGAAAUGUGUUUUACUUGUCUAUUGAGUAUCAGCUGAAAAUUUUUAACCAGGGGUGUAAUGGAUAUUUUUAACAGAUUGAGAGACCAGUUAUAAAACUUGGACUAGUAGAAAUUUCUACGAAUACUUGGUAGUAGAAAUGGAAUAAAAUGGAUGAAUUUCCCAAAUAUAUUGACAGUACAAUGAUAGGAUUUAGUAUUGGAUUGAAUGUUGAAAGUAGCUGUCUCUGGGUGAUGGAUUAAAGGAUGAUUUUUAGCCACCUCUUUUUUCUUUUAUACAUUUUACAGUUUUUCUAACUGAACAUUAUUUCCAUAAUUUUUAAAAACUUUAAAAAAAAUUUUCUUGAAUACACCAAAAAUGGAUAACUAAAUUAUGUACAAGGCAGUUCCUAGAGAAACAACUUCCAAAGAAUAAAAGUCCAUAAGAGAAAAGCAAAACAGAAGAAACAAAGCAAGACUAGCAGAUGGUAGGAAUCUCUGUAUCUCUGUAUUUGGCUAGGCUGUUGUCAGAGUUUUUCUUCAGCAAUGGAAUGCUUUUCUUCUAAUAAAAUCUACACAGAGGCCCUGUAUGUAACAGAAAUCACAAGAGUACUAUUCUGAUUGAAGGGUUAGUAGACCCUGAGCCCCAACUACUUUACUUAUGCUUGAGGUCACCCUCCCCUAUUUCUCCCCUUCUCCAGGAACAAAAGACAAGGCAGUGUCUUUUGAGAGUGAUAUCAACAAUGGUUGGCUUUUUCUUUUUUGUUUCCUUGGCUUUAGGGAUUUAAGCAGAGGCAGGUCUCUUUGAUGUAAGUGAUAUACGGGUGACAGACAAAGCUGAGUGGAAGCCUGAUUUCAAACUUUCAUUGAUCACAGCAAUUAUUGUGCACUGGAUAGAAAAAUGUAUUUUGAAGGCAGUGCAGCACUGACUAGAAAAUGCCUUAGAUAGGACAACAUUUUAGAUGGAAAAACAAGAAAAAGAAAUCUUUUAUUUUUCAAGGAAAGAAAAGGCAAAUGAGAGAUGAGACCAUGACUUACAAACAAAAUGUUUGCACCAGGUUGGGCUUCCACCAUAUGUUUCUUUGAUCUUCUGUGUGUACCUGGACACUUAAACAAGUCACAGUGCUAAGGGAGCAGGGCCAAUCCAGCGAAGGUAAGUGAGCUGGGCCAUAUGAUCCACAAGCAGUCACUGCCCCUUGUCUGUUACCACUCAGACAAUGAAGGAAUGUAAUUGUUCCUACCAAAUUGAGUUUGCAACACAGCUCUAACAGUUUAUGAAUCAAGGUUGGCAAACCAUACCUUUUAGACCAAUUUAUCUGGGAAGAAGUUUAAUGAAAAACAAGUUUAUGAGGUAAUUGGUUAAGAAUGCAUUUUUUUUCACCCCUCACUCCUCUUCCUCUUCAUCCUUAUGGUUUCUGUGGCAGCUGCCUUGUUCUCUUAAUAGUGUGCCCUUGUGGUCGAAGAUGAAACAAUAGGACUGAGCAUAGACCCAAGUUAGACCAGUUCAACACCUUAUCCUGAAUUCUAACUGAUUUCUCCAGGGAUGGUGAUCUAAUUCAUGAUAGGCCUGUUAGUAACUCACAAGGGUUUCUGGAUUUGAAACCAAGAACAUCAAUUAGUUAUUUUCUUGCAACUAAAGAGAUAAGCAUUAAAACUUCAUCUCAUUCUACAGUAGCUGGAUGGAUUAAACAAAAUUUGGUACAUUCACACAAUGGAAUAAUAUACCUCUGUAACAAGGAAGAAACUAGUGAUACAUACAUCAACUUGAGUUAAUCACAAAGACACUAUGGCAAUUGAAGGAAGCCAGUUCUCCAAAUUUACAUACUGUAUGAUUCUGCUUAUAUUACAUUCUCAAAAAGACAAAACUAUAGUGAUGGAGAACAUAUCAGUGGUUGCCAGGGGUUAUGGAUGGGGGCAAAGUGUGACUGAAAAGGGAUAGCAUGUGAUAGUUUGGGAAGUUAUGAAACCGUUCUGUAUCCUGAUGUGAUAGUGGUUACACAAAUUUAUAUGUGCAUUAAAAUUCACAAAAUUCAUAAGUAUUUUUCAAAAGAAAAAAGUUCAUUUUGCUAUGAUACUUUUAAAAAUUAAAAAAAAUUAAAUUAUUACAAAGAAACUCUCUCACCUGCAAGGAGAAAGCAGAGAUGGCUGAUCUACAGAAGAUAGAAAGUAGAGGCUACAACUGGUGAGGGGAGAGAAGAUAUGAGAGAUGAACCAGGGCACUUUGAGGCCCUGCUUUUCCAGCAGGUGUGUUCUCAUUCUUGGGUUCCAUGAGACAAUCUUAUAUUCCUCUUUUGUGUUUAAGCUAGUUCAUCUAGGCUAUUUCAUUUGCAAUCCAGAAUCCUAAUUUCUUAGGGACUGUCUGGUUAAAUUUUGCAUUAGCUGUUCUGGAGCUGGAGAGUAGCUUUACUCUCUAUAAGUGUAGUAGUGAAUGGAGAGCUACUUUACAGAUAAUGUCACCUCAGUAUUUAAAGGUGACAUUACUACUUGGAUAAUAAAACCCACAUUCCCAAUUGCUGACCCACUAAGUCCUAACCCUUUCCAAAAAGUCUCUCUCCCUAAGGUUGGCACACAACACCGGAAGUGCUCAUUAAAUCUAAGAAAAUUAAGUGAUAUUUAUUGUUUUACACAGUUUAGUUGACUAUAUGGUGGUAAUUUUCACAAAACAUGCCAAGAAAAUUCCAUGUUACUACAUUGUUGGUGGAGUUUCCUUCCAAGGUGAAGGUUGAGGUGAGUGAAAUCCAGAAUACUUAGAGACCAGACAUUCUUUUUGUCUAAUCCCUAGAGUGACAAAUACCUGGCAUCUCCAACAAGAUUAUUUUUUUUUCUCAUGGAGAUCUGUUCUAUCUAAUUCCACUAGGCAAAUGCAGUGAGCAUCUCCUUUAUUCAGGACUGCAGUUUUCCUUGCUAGCAAAAGGAAUAAAAGAGGGAACUAUGCUAGGGACAUUCAUUCAUAUGAUUACAUCAACCAUUAAUAAUGUUUUAUUUCUCUCAGUGUGGCCAGCACUUUGCUUUAGUUUAGGAAACUAAAACUAGGAUCAAGGAGAUCACAACCAUACAGGGAAAUAGACUCUCCAAUAAAUAUUUACAUACUCGCAGCAGAUCAAUAUUCCAAAAUGACAUCCAGGAAGAAGUGAAGAAUUGAGGGUGGUGCAGGGCAACUUCUGGGAGAAAGUGACACAUGGGUUUUAAAGGAUGAGAAGGAGUUUGCCAUGCUUCCAAGUGGGGAAGCUGUAUAUACUGAGAGAACACAUGCAAUGCAAGGGGGCAUGAAAAUAGGCAGUGGAUUUGGAGGCUCAAAGGAGUCUGAUACAUGGAGAGAGGGGAGUUGAAGAGACCAGAGGGUUCAAGGUAAAAAGCUUGGACUUUUUAUCCUGAAGGAGAUGAGCAACUGGGUGGAGUUUUAGAUAGGCAAAUGACAUACACAGAUUUGCAAUUUAGAAAUGUCAUUUUGGUGGCAGUGUGGAUGGCUGAUGAAAAUAGGGCUGAAUCUAAUGGGAGGAAGAUAAAUUGGAAGUCCUAGACUAUAAUCCAGGUGAAAGAAUCCAGUGGUAGUAUUGGCAAAAUUGGGAGGAUAAAUUUAGAAGACAGAAUUGAUAAUGUGUGGUGACCAAUACUGUGUAGAGUUGGAAAAGAAAGAGACUAGGAUGCUGCUCACAUUUAUGAUUUGGCAUUACAGGUGGACAGGGAAUGAUGGUGUUAAGGAACAAGAGGAAAGACAGAAGGAGGAACAAGGUGGGUAAGUUUAGAUCAGGAUUGAAGAAUAUGAGAAAGACAUGGAGAAGAUGAAGAACAUAAUUCCAUUUGAUAAGAUGACCAUUGAGGACUUGAAUGAAAUCUUCCCAGAAACCAAAUUAGGCAAGAAGAAGUACCCCUACCAGCCUCACAAGCCAACUGAAAAUUUAUAAACUCAACCCUGAGAGAAAGCUCUGGCCUUCGAAUUAUAAACUCUGCACAUUAAAAAAUAAUUAUAUACUGCAAAUAGUCAUUUAAAAUAAUUUCAAAGAGACAGAAAGCCUGGAUCAGAUGGGCAUUUUCUGUUAAUCUUGGAUGAUAGAUUUCUGUCUUAUAAGAUUCUCUCAUAUAAGAGAACACCUUAGUUACCCACAAAAGGCUCUGGUAAACAAUAAAUAAUCCAGUGUGUUGGUGCAGGGAGCAUCAAUAAAACAUUAAAGUGAGCAUUACUGGUAACUAGAAUGUACUUUGGUAAGGCCUCCCUUUGUAUGAAGAAUAUUAUGAGCACAUGCUGUUCCACAAACAGCAAUGAGGUGUUCUACUUUAAGAAAAGAUUAUUAAUAAAUGUGUGUUAUUUUGAAUGUGUAUU